AUCGUUUCUUGGCUCUUGGAGCUAAGAUCAUGUGAAAAAUCUUUUCUUUACAGUGUCAUUUCUGAAACGGUCUCUAAAUUGAGACCAACAUUUUUGUGUUCCACCACCAUCA
rnacentral:snRNA from 1 species